GAUGAACGCUAGCGGGAGGCUUAAUACAUGCAAGUCGAGCGGCAAGUUUUGAUAGCAAUAUUGGAACCUAGAGCGGCGCACGGGUGAGUAACGCGUACAUGACCUGCCCUAUACUGGGGGAUAGUCUUGGGAAACUGAGAAUAAUCCCGCAUGUGAUUAGAAUGCUGCAUGGCAAAUUAAUUAAAGCUGAGGCGGUAUAGGAUGGGUGUGCGUCUGAUUAGCUAGUUGGUAGUGUAACGGACUACCAAGGCGAUGAUCAGUAGGGGGCGUGAGAGCGUGACCCCCCACACGGGUACUGAGACACGGACCCGACUCCUACGGGAGGCAGCAGUAAGGAAUAUUGGUCAAUGGAGGAAACUCUGAACCAGCUAUCUCGCGUGAAGGAUGAAGGGGCUCUGCCUUGUAAACUUCUUUUGUCUGGGGCGAAAAAACUUAAUUUAUUAAGGACUGACGGUACCAUGAGAAUAAGCA
rnacentral:rRNA from 1 species